CUUAUGUGCGAUGGGGACGUAAAGCGUGUCCUGGAAACAAUACUGAGCUGGUCUACUCUGGUUUUGCAGCUGGUGGCUUUUAUAAUGAAGAAGGUUCUGCAGCAGAAUAUAUUUGUCUUCCACCAGAUCCAAAUCUUGGUGCGACUUAUAGUGAUAGCUAUUAUGGAAGCAUUUAUGGAGCGGAAUAUGAAUCAAAUGGUUUUGGUGGUGGUUUAUGGAAUGAUGAUGUUCCAUGCGCUGUUUGCCGGUCAACGACUGCAUCGCAUGUGCUUAUGAUUGCAGCAAAAAAUCAGUGCUAUGAUGGAUGGUUUACUGAAUAUGUUGGGGAACUAGCGGGUGGACAUCAUCUACAUAAAGCAGCAUCGUCAUUUGUUUGUGUUGACAAAAAUCCAGAGGAAAUAAUUGGCGGAGAAGCAGGUCAAGACGGCAAAUUGUUUUAUCCAAUCAAAACUGUUUGUGGAUCAUUGAAAUGUCCACCGUACCAUAACAAUCGUCUAUUGCCAUGUGUUGUAUGUUCAAGAUAAAAAUAAAAGUUAUUUUUAUUUUUUUAAAUAUCAA